rnacentral:rRNA from 1 species
AACGAACGCUGGCGGCAGGCCUAACACAUGCAAGUCGAGCGAGGACUUCGGUUCUAGCGGCGGACGGGUGUGUAACGCGUGGGAAUGUGCCCUUCUCUACGGCAUAGCCCUGGGAAACUGGGAGUAAUACCGUAUACGCCCUUUUGGGGAAAGAUUUAUCGGAGAAGGAUCAGCCCGCGUUGGAUUAGGUAGUUGGUGGGGUAAUGGCCUACCAAGCCGACGAUCCAUAGCUGGGUUGAGAGGAUGAUCAGCCACACUGGGACUGGGACACGGCCCAGACUCCUACGGGAGGCAGCAGUGGGGAAUCUUAGACAAUGGCGGCAACCCUGAUCUAGCCAUGCCGCGUGAGUGAUGAAGGCCUUAGGGUUGUAAAGCUCUUUCAGCUGGGAAGAUAAUGACGGUACCAGCAGAAGAAGCCCCGGCUAACUCCGUG